GACGAACGUUGGCGGCGUGCUUUACACAUGCAAGUCGAACGGAAAUGCUCUGCUUUUGUGGGUUGCUCAAGUGGCGAACGGGUGAGUAACACGUGAGUAACCUACCCUUGACUUUGGGAUAACUUUAGCAAACUGGGGCUAAUACCGGAUAGGAGCUCCUGCUGCAUGGUGUGUGCUGGAAAGUUCCGGCGGUUGGUGAUGGACUCGCGGCUUAUUAGCUUGUUGGUGGGGUAGUGGCUUACCAAGGCUGUGACGGGUAGUCGGCCUGAGAGGGUGACCGGCAACAUUGGGACAGAGAUAGGGCCGAGACUCAUGCGGGAGGCAGCAGGGGGAAAUAUUGCAAAAUGGGAAGAAGCCUGAGGCAGAAACGCCGCGUGCGGGAUAACGGACUUGGGGUUGUAGACCGCUUUCGCCUGUGACGAAGCGAGAGUGACGGUAAUGGGUAAAGAAGCACCGGCUAAGUACGUG
rnacentral:rRNA from 1 species